rnacentral:miRNA from 1 species
GCAGACACAUUCCAGCCAAUCAGCAGCAGACCCUCCCUCCCAGACCCUCCCACCUCCUAGACAGCUCACUAAGAAUGCAGCUUCACAAUGAAUGUAAAAUGGAUGCUGUCCAGGAGGUGGGAGGGUCUGGGAGGGAGGGUCUGCUGCUGAUUGGCUGGAAUGUGUCUG